AAUUUGAUGAUUUUGUGUGAAAAUCCGGAGAAAGUGACUUUUAAAACCCUUAUUUUUUAUACCAGAGGAAUGAACGAUGCUGUUAGCAUAGAGGCUACAUGCUAGAAUAAAAGCUAACAGAGCGGUUAGCUGGAGCACGGAGGUGGAGGCUGAUGGUUGGGACUCGUUCUGAUCAAACAUUUCCUCUGUGCUGACAUGAACAGAAACAAACCGUUUCCUUUGGCCACGCUUUGAGUUAAACAGAAACUUUGAUUAGCAUAUAGUCAACAGCAGCUCUCAUUACAGAGCGGCGCGCCACGGCGCUAAUGGCCUCCUUUCUUCUUCUUCUUCUCCUCGCUGUGCGGAAUGACAACAGGAAGGAGAUAAUGAGCCGCCGCUGCCAGUCUGAGCAGAAAGAGAAGAGGAAGAGCUCAAGAUGUCUCUGAGGCCUCCUUAUCACUAGAAUACUGAUAACUUUGUGGCCCUUGGAGGAGUUGCAGAGUGUCAUUCUUGGCCCCCAUGCCCAGCGCUUGGCCCCUCAGGUAGCUGCAGCGAUCCGGCCCGGCCCGCUUAGUGGUGACCCUGAAACGGCCUCACACUCCACUGCACAUCCAGGUCAGCGCGCCGCUGCAGCGGGUCGAUGAGCGGCACACUAACAGAGCAGAAGCCCCGCCCCCGCUGCGAGGCCCCGCCCACACCGCCAUGCUGGAUCCAUUUAUCGAGCCGAGCUGCACAGAACGGCCGGCGCCAGUUCUGCUGACGGUCGGUAAGGGCUACGCAUGAUUCAGAGUAAACUCAGGGUCAAAGUUCAGCUGAGGCUGAAUUAAUUCUGCUGACGUUCACCGACUCCUUCCAGCUAAAUUAUCACACAUUUUCUCACAUUAAAACUGAAAAUUACAUUUUAUUUCUCUGGGAUUUUAGGUGAUAAACAUGGGGUGGUCAAAGUGUGGCCCGGGAGCCUUUUGUGGCCCUUGAAAUGAUUUUGUUCGGCCCCUGAAUACAAAUCAAGAAUGGUAAAACAACAGAUGGCAACAUUUUUUAAAGUUACUGUUUUAGUUAUGAAAUCAUUUUAUGUGUAUAAAUGAUUUUGAUUAUAUUAUUGGACAAAAUGUAAAGUUUGUGUCUGUUUCUCACUGAAUGUAGUUUUUUAUUUUCAUGUUUUUAAAGCACUUUGAACGGCCUUGUAGCUAAAAUGUGCCGCACAAAUAAACUUGACUACUUAACUGA